rnacentral:misc_RNA from 1 species
GUGAAUCAUCGAAUCUUUGAACGCACAUUGCGCCCUCUGGUAUUCCGGGGGGCACGCCUGUUCGAGCGCCAUCGCACCCUCCAAGCUCUGCUUGAUGUUGGGCGCUGCGGACCAUUCCCUGGCAACGGGGGAUGCCGCACGCCUGGAACGUGUGGGCGUCUGGCCUGUCGAGACCCGCGAGCGUAGCAAGGCUGCAAAGUCAUUUCGCUCUGUCGGGACUCCAGCGGACCGCCUAUAGGCCCUACCCUUUAGGGGGGUCACCAACUAAAAGUUUGGCCUCGGAUCAGGCGGGGAUACCCGCUGAACUUAAGCAUAUCAAUAAGCGGAGGA